rnacentral:rRNA from 1 species
GCAUUUAUUAGAACAAAACCAAUUGGCUUCGGUCAUUAUUGGUGAAUCUGAAUAACUACGCUGAUCGCACGGUCUCGCACCGGCGACAUAUCCUUCAAGUGUCUGCCUUAUCAACUGUCGAUGGUAGUUUACAUGACUACCAUGGUUGUAACGGGUAACGGAGAAUAAGGGUUCGACUCCGGAGAGGGAGCCUGAGAAACGGCUACCACAUCCAAGGAAGGCAGCAGGCGCGCAAAUUACCCACUCUCAGCUCGAGGAGGUAGUGACGAAAAAUAACGAGACAGUUCUCUAUGAGGUCUGUCAUCGGAAUGGGUACAAUUUAAACCCUUUAACGAGGAUCUAUUGGAGGGCAAGUCUGGUGCCAGCAGCCGCGGUAAUUCCAGCUCCGAUAGCGUAUACAAAUACUGUUGCGGUUAAAAAGCUCGUAGUUGGAUCUGCGUUCGCAGACUCAGGUUCCCUUCUUGGGAUACUUGUUGUCUCGAACUACCUUGUUAGACGUCUAUUGGUGCUCUUCAUUGAGUGCCUUUAGUGUCUAGCUCAUUUACUUUGAAAAAAUUAGAGUGCUUAAAGCAGGCA